AGAGUUUGAUCCUGGCUCAGGAUGAACGCUAGCUACAGGCUUAACACAUGCAAGUCGAGGGGCAGCAUGGUCUUAGCUUGCUAAGGCCGAUGGCGACCGGCGCACGGGUGAGUAACACGUAUCCAACCUGCCGUCUACUCUUGGACAGCCUUCUGAAAGGAAGAUUAAUACAAGAGGGCAUCAUGAGUUCACAUGUUCACAUGAUUAAAGGUUUUCCGGUAGACGAUGGGGAUGCGUUCCAUUAGAUAGUAGGCGGGGUAACGGCCCACCUAGUCUUCGAUGGAUAGGGGUUCUGAGAGGAAGGUCCCCCACAUUGGAACUGAGACACGGUCCAAACUCCUACGGGAGCAGCA
rnacentral:rRNA from 1 species